GUUUAGGUGCGCCCAGCACGGCGUGUGCAGAGCCACAAGCUGGCGUGAGUUGUUGGGGCGUGAAGUUGAAGGAGGGCAGUGGUGAGAAAUGCAGCCCCAUUUAACUCUUGCUGCAUCAUGAGCCACCCCCAAAACUUAGUGGCUUAAAACGACAACAUUUGAUCAUUCUCAUAAUUCUGCCAUCUGAGCUGAGUUCAGCUGGGUAGUCCUUCUGUUCAUGGACUAUCUGCUGGGGUUGGAACACCCAAAAACACUUUUUAACUCCCGUGUUUGAUGCCUUGGCUGGGUAAAUGGAAGAGCCGGGGCUGGCUGCCGUUUCUCUCUCUCUGUCUCUCUCCUCUCCAUGUGGCUAUCUCUGGCUUCCUCGGAGCACGGUGAUCUCAGGGCAGUUGGGUUCUUACAUGGCGGUUGGCUUCCAGUUGAGAGAAGCUGCCAGUGCAUGUGAGGUCUGGGCUCAGAAGUACCCGAACCUCACUUGCACGGCACUCUGUUGAUCAAAGCAAGUCACAAGGCCGGCCCUGAUUUAGGGGGAGGAAGCAGCUUCAGCUUCUUGAUGGGAGGAACAGUGCGCAUGUGCAGGGAGAGAUGCGUUCACAGUGGUCAUCUUUGGAGACUACCUGCCCAGAAGAAAGAAGCAUGCAGAAGGACAAUCUUGUCUGCUUGUCAGAGAAAUCGCAGGAAUGAUGACAAAUGCAGGAUAGCAGUUACCUCUGUGGGAGAAGAUGGGAUGUGCGAGGCCACAGGAAGCUUCGGCUAUUCUGGUACACUUCUGAAUAGAACUGUGAGCCCCCAGUGCCUGGGUUAGGCCUUGAACGUGUUACAUGGGAAUGAGGACAUAGAAAGGGGCUCGAAACAGGAGUCAGAGCUGCUUGCUAGACAGAUGGCCCUGGCUGGAUUUGAGGAAGACAAGAGUGGAGGGGGAGGAGGCGGCCACACUGAUCCCGCGAGAGGCUGAGAAGGCGAGGCAGGUGCAAACAAGCAUCUCCAAGGUCACGACCUUCCCUUGCACCUGUCACCGCGCUGGCACAGGACUGUGCAGGGGAAUCCGGAGGUCCCUCGGUUCCUUCCUCUGCCUCCAGACUUUGAACACGGCCACUUCCGGCAGCAGGGCAGCCCUUCCCUCUCAAGGCUCCUCUGGAAACCCGCCCACUGCUUUGGAUUGUGGCAUCUUGAGCAUCUGACGGUUUUUGAUGUGCCUCCUAGCUCUCAGGCCACCCACUGCUACUACUCCUAUUCUGGGCUUGCCCUUCUAGGGGUGCAGCCCUGCCCCAGACCUUCCAUCUGUCCUUCCUCUGGGCCAGGGGAUAACAGCUGGCUAUUGGAUCAGUAACCUGGGAAAGGGCGCAUAGCGAGGUCCCUGAGUCGAAUGUGGUACUUUUCCCAGGUAAUGUAUUUGCAUUUUAAUAGGAGUCCCCUGGGUGGAGGGAGAGUGUUAAUUUAAAGGGAUUUUUCAGGCACUGGAACAAGCUGGUGUGUGUGUGUGUGUUAUGUGAGGAGAGAGAAGAGGAGGAGGAAGAUCAUGGCUGCCAUUUAUCAACGCAGCAAAAAGGACAUAGAAGAAACCCUUUGUCCCUCUCAUCCAGCGAUGACACUGUUAAUAUCGUGGUGUAUAUCCUCCCAGUACCUGGUGUCGUAGAGAUGAAUGAGCAUCCUCAUCUCUGGCAGUCAAAUUGAGACACUCAAUUCUAUAAAACUCACAAGCUGCAACACAGUUUCUAUGUGUGCCAUUUGGUAACACACUCCUUGUUCCAGAAAUCCCACCUCUAGGAAUUUAUUCUAAAGAAAAAUCUAGAAUAAUAAUACCAUUAGCUACCAUGUUCUGAAUUUUAAUUGUGCACCAAGGGUUUUACACACAUUGGUUCAUUUGAUUCUUGCACCAAGCCUGCAAAGCAAUAAUGUCACCCCUCACCUGAGGCUAGAGAAGGAAAGGACCUUGUCCAGGGCCCUCUGUAGGAGGUGAGUCAGGAGCUGGGGCCCAGCGUGGACGAAGGGACCCCAGGAAAAGGCAUCCUCCACCUGGAUCCCCUCAGAGAUGAGUGCAGCCAUUGUACCAGAGUCUCCUGUCCCCUUACCUCCCUCCCCAACUCCCCAAUCCCCCAACCCCUCCAACCUACCUCCGCAUCCCCCUCUAUCCCUCCCCCCCGCCAAAUGUGCAAAGGCCCUGAGUGGGAGGAAUGUGACCAAAAGUCUUGCCCUCAUCCUCAGGGGUGGGGGGCAGCGGGUGACAGUGCCGCGGUGCCUCCCACCUGCCUAGUUUCAGCUCUUCUUUGACAGCUCCUUGUCCAGGAAGCCUUCGCUCCAUCUCAGACAGUUCGGUCUCUCCUUUGUUCUCCUGCUGUGGUGGAGCCACCGCACAACAGCUCAGAAGAUGUUCUGCGGCGUCGUCACAGUGUUUCGCACAUGUUCCUGGGAUCCCAGUCAGAAUUCUCUGGGGAGCUGUGAAAAGUGCCGAUCAACGGAAUCUGAUUCCCUGGUGCCGAGGUUCAGGACCUGCGCCUCACGAGCCUUUCGUGGGCUUGGAGCACACUCGAGCGGGAGAGAAACUGCGUGGCUUACCUGCCUCCUCAGAGCAGGGACUCUGGCACUGUCCUUUGUGUCCCCUGGCAUUGAGCACAGGGAUGUGCAGCCGACACAAGUGUGUGUGAAUUCAGUGCAGAGACACAUUUCUCAGGAAGGAAAGCGGAGUGGGGGCGGUGGACGACGUGGGAUAACUGGGGAGGGCGUGAGUGGGAGCCCGUGCAGGAGAGCGAGAGAGGUGGGAAGUCUUAGGCUGAUUUGGGAUGCCCGCUCUGGGGGUCCUCUGAAUGCUGCCAAUAGAUAGUCAGUGAAUGUCUUUUCCCCUCCACUUUUUCCGCAGACACAUACUUUAGUCCCAGAAAUUAUUUUUGAAACCUGAACUUUCAAUGCCAGAACGAGUAAUUGCAUAUAAAGUGGGUCACAAGGAAGUGAUAACUAAUGCACAGGCUAUUUUAACUGCUGAAUCAGAAAUUUCUAAGCUACAUUAUGAAAUAUGCAGGAAGGAAAAUAAGCAGAUGAUAGGAGUGGAAGGAAUCCUAAAAUAAUGUUUUCACAAACAAAUUCUGGCCCAACAUACGCCUGAGCGGUGGGAGUGGGGGAGCUCCAGUGACACACAAUGAGAGUUGAAGAACUGGAAUGAAAUUGCCAAGCUGGAAUUCUUUCUGAACGACGUAGGACCCCUGAGGCACGUGGCCCACACCCCACAAACCCACAGCCUGCAGGACUUCGGCCGUGUCGUGGGGGCACCUUGUCACUGCUUCACAGCACAGGCAGACAGGGCUAAAGAGAGCAAAGACAGACAAAGCCACAAACACAAUGUAGAAAUCUUUUCUAUUGGCUAUUCCUCAAACAAAUAAAACCCAUCUUUUUGGUUCAAUUUAUUUCAUAGAGUUUUUUUCAUUGUGGUAAAAUAUGCACAACUUAAAAAUUACUAUUUUAAUCAUGUUUAAGUGUACAAUUCAGUGGCAUUAAGUAAAAUUCACAGUGUUGUGCAACUGUCACCACUAUCUAUUUCCAGAACUUUUGCAUCAUCCCUAGUAGAAACUCUGUGUCCAAUAAGGAGUAACUUCCCAUCCCCCAGCCCCUAGCCCCUGGUAACCAUUGUUUUACUUUCUGUCUCUAUGAAUUUG
rnacentral:lncRNA from 1 species